rnacentral:rRNA from 1 species
AACGAACGCUGGCGGCAUGCCUAACACAUGCAAGUCGAACGAGACCUUCGGGUCUAGUGGCGCACGGGUGCGUAACGCGUGGGAACCUGCCCUUAGGUUCGGAAUAACUCCCCGAAAGGGGUGCUAAUACCGGAUAAUGUCUUCGGACCAAAGAUUUAUCGCCUUUGGAUGGGCCCGCGUUGGAUUAGCUAGUUGGUAGGGUAAAAGCCUACCAAGGCGACGAUCCAUAGCUGGUCUGAGAGGAUGAUCAGCCACACUGGGACUGAGACACGGCCCAGACUCCUACGGGAGGCAGCAGUGGGGAAUAUUGGACAAUGGGCGAAAGCCUGAUCCAGCAAUGCCGCGUGAGUGAUGAAGGCCUUAGGGUUGUAAAGCUCUUUUACCCGGGAUGAUAGUGACAGUACCGGGAGAAUAAGCUCCGGCUAACUCCGGG